AUACAAUUAGGGCUUUAUGAUCUUUGAAGUCAGCUAAUACAAAGAUUUAUAUAUUUGCAACAAAAAAAGUCUAGGAAGUAAUAGGAAUAGGUGUUUCUUACUUAGWGCUAYAGUCUGAUUCUCCUCUGGCUUGUGRUGGUUUGGCUCUAUKAUCUUCAGAGGAGUUAAUCCUCUCCCUGAUUUGAGCAGCAGAAGAAGAGAAGAAAAUCCAUCCCUGAAUGUAUGGCUAGGGAGAUCUGCUUUUAUAGAGCUUGCAUUUGUUUCAGAUCAUAGCCCUGCGGAGGGUAGAGCACUGAGAGAAGACUCUGCCACAGGCUUUAAACCAUGUGGCGUUUCUGCCGACCAACAACUCACAGCAGCUCCUGAAAGACUGGGAUUGAGCUGGGCUCUGGUGRCCGAUGCCGAAGGGGUGGACCUGUCCCUGACGUGCAGCUCGCAGGGGGGCCAGAUUGCCAUGCCAGGGCGGUUCCUGCCUGCUCCUGGUGAUGCUCCGCUGGGCAGGCUGGAGGAGGUCACGCCUGGGCGCAGGAGUGAAAGUCACGUUCAGAGAAGUGUGGACUGAAUGAAGGACACGGUAAGCUUUCAGCAAUGAGGCAGAUUGAUGGAUAGCAAAGAUGCUGGUGGUGAGAGAAUGGUAAGGAAAAUUCAGGAGCUGGUUCUAAAUCUUUCAGUUGUGAAGGUUCACAGGCAAAGUGGCUAUCAGCCUUUUAGCUAUACCAAAAGAAGAAACCCCARCCUUUGGCAAUGGUGACCCUUCUACCUUGGUUUUGGUUUGUUUGKUUUUUUUCARGAUGGUGGGAAACAAAGUAUAGCCAGCCUCCUGACUUUUUGCAAGUUAYAAAUGCUGUACAAAAUUCUAGUUUCAACACAGAAAAUGUUUUCUCCUGUUGUUUAGCGUUACUCCAGAUGCUGAUGUACUUAGUUACACAGCACAAGUAACCCAACUGGAAUGAAAAAGCAAGUUGUUCUCAGCUAUCCCAGUGUCCCAGGGCAAGCUCCUUUCAGAAAAACAGAAACUGACCCAGGCCAACAUCUUCUGGAAGAGAGAGCAAAGAGGAGACCAGGAUGGGAGAGCAAACAUAUUCAUCCCUUUUCACCUCAGAUUUUGUUGCUCAUCCUCAGUUCAGCUCAAGRUAAUAAUCAUCAGUGGCAUUUUCCUCACUUUGUAUAGUGUAGGAGAAACCUGGGUUUCAAGCCUUUGGCAAUUCMUCAGAGGGUGGAUACACACUCUCCUCAAACAAGGGUUCUUCCUUCCUGGGAAAGCAAAGCCAGCAAUCCAAAUUUGAGUUAGAGAAUCAAAUAUAUUUACAUAAAAUACAUAACACAUUAUAGUAAUAAAAGAAAUAWUGGAAAUUAAAUUUAUGAUUGGGUAAGUUAUAGUAAUAAAAUAUGAACUGUUUAUGCAAACCAAAAUUCUUAACCUCCCAGAGGCAAGUACUCAGUGCAUGGAGAAACUCUUUUGAGGUGCCCAGCAGUGCUCACACCAAGCAGCAUCUCCCAGGAAGAGCACAAACAGGCCAGCAAACCUGGAAGCACAUAAUUUUCCUAGCUGUUAGUGUAGGUUAUGGUGCCCUGGGUAUUAUUGCCAGAUCCUGGUAGAUUCACUGGUCACCAUGCCCCAAUAUGCAGGUUCCUGCUUCCAUUUUCUGUUGUGCUUUUCUCCCAUAGUCACUUCUUUCCCUUCCCACAUGAAUUGCUGUGGAGUAAGGAAAAAGGCAGCAGCYCAGAGGGACAAAAUGAA